GCACUGAUAGCUCAGUGGUAGAGCAAUCGGUUGCAGUUCUUUAAUUAUAGGGAAUGAAUGGGAUAGGUACUCGGAAGUCCGGGUCAGUGCU